ensembl:lincRNA
AUGGGGUUGGGGUGGGGGGGAGACUCGUUAGGACAGGCCACUCUUCCGCAGCAAACCCCAUCCCGACCCUCCCAACUCCUGGGUCUCUCCCCGCACUGCCCACGUUUGUGGAGCCCCCCCAGUACCCCCCAUCCAGGUCUGCCCACGCGUGGCUCUCGGGGCUCUGCCAGGAGCGGGGCAGGGGCCACAGAGGGCCUGGGGCCAGGAGUGACGCUGGGUCUCCUUUACGGAAGAUGGCUCGGGAGGCAACGCAAAGGAGGCCAAGUAUUGACCAGAGACAGGACUUGGAGAGAGGCUGGGUGGCCGAGGAGAGGCACUGACAGGCCCCUGGGGACACAGACGAUGGAGAAGACCCGUGUACGGCUCUCCCUUUCUUACAGGGGAGCCCAAAGGUCUUUUACAGCUGUAAAGGGAGGGGAUCCCUGGAAAAGCCCACCAGGCUGUCAGGAUGCGGGGCGCCGGGAAGCUUUUGCAAAGACAACAGCCCUCGGCGGAAGGAGCAGCGUGGACUUGACCGCUCAGCACACACGCCUGUGCUGACCCAGGGCUUUCCGCAGCGCGGGAGACCGAGUCCAGGAACACAGUUACAGAAGCUCUGGGCCGAAUGUCAAGGGCCCAGAACUGACCAGGCAGUAGGCCUGGGAAGCAGGCAGGUGUCCAGGGGGUAAUCUGGGAGGGACACGGCAGGACCCAGCUCAGGCACCCCACCCUCGCAAUGGACUCCACGCAGCACAAAGGCCAUCAGCCCUUGUGGGUUAAGUGCUGCCCUUCUAAAUGCAAACACGGGGUCAGGGGCCGGCAGGUGAGGAGGGGGCGCCUCCAGGGACUCCUCUGGAGGUGGGUACUGAGCCCGCACUAACCCUGGCUGACCAGAGCAAAUGCUUAGGUGGCGGCGGCUGCAGGUUAAGAAGUGUGGAGCAGCAAGGGGAGCUGGGAGCGGGAGGGCAGGGACUGCGGGGCACAGGUGGGGGGCCAGGCCAGGGCAGGUGUGCAGGCUGAGGGGACCCGAGCCAGUGCUUUCAAACCAUCCGCAAGGCGGGAGACCAGACGCGGCAGGGACAGGCAGGCAGACAGACAGAAUGGAGAGGCAGGGCCGAGGUGGGGUGGGAUGGGCGUGCGGUGGGGGGAGCGCGGGGAGCAGGCCGCACCUGGUUGAUGUGUACGGCCGGGAUGGAGGCGGCGGACACGGCUGAGUGGCUGGGGGAGUUGGGCAGUGACUUGCAGGGCCCGAUGGCCAGCUGCUGCUUCUUCCGCAAGGCCACUACCUUCUGGGCCACUGCAGGGGACAGCAGAGUCAAUGACCCCUCUGGGAGGUGGGGGAGACCCCACUUAGAGCCGACUGCCCCCUCCCCCCCCCGGGGCAGCGCCCGGCGCCCGCCGAGUUACCGUCCUGGAAGACGCGCUCCACGUUGAGCCCGUAGGUGGCACACGUCUCGUAGUAGGUGCAUCGCUUCAAGUCUGUGGACAGCUUGCGGGCCCGGCGGCUGUCAUCGAUGGCCCGCGGGUUCGCGGCACUGAUGGCGUCUGUCAGAGACGGAGGUGAGGAAUCGGGGGCUGACUCAGCCGGCUGACGCUGCGCCGUGUGGUCAGAGGGUGGGGCGGGCCUAGAGCCCGGGUGGUGGAUGCCACAGAGCACGAGAAUAUGGGGGUCUGGGCCUCGUUCCAGCUCUGCCACCGACUCACUGAGUGGAAAUGAGCCACCCCCCUGUGUUCAUCUCAAAGAGUGCAGCAGGACACAGCCAUCACAAGGACGGCAGGGUCACAGCCAGAGGGGCAACCCAGCAUGUAGGGGGCAGAGAGAAGGCGCCUGCUCAGGGUGGGGGUGUGUGGGUGGCCCAUUGGAAGGGCUGGAUCAGCGCCAGGAGGGCAGAGGGGGUAGGGGCCAGGCUUUCUCACGCUGGCACGGGACCCCACAGCCGCCGCGCCGCCCCAGUGAGCAGGCCCGCUCACCCUGUGUGCCCACCAGCACCAUGGGCACCUCGCUGGUGUUGCGGAAGCUGCAGAGGCGCAGGAAGUAGUUGUACACCGUCUGGAAGCUGAUCUCAUCCUCCAGGCUGAACACAAACACCACUGCGUCCACCCAGGCAGCAAACUGGGGGGGGGGGGGGUGGGNNNNNNNNNNNNNNNNNNNNNNNNNNNNNNNNNNNNNNNNNNNNNNNNNNNNNNNNNNNNNNNNNNNNNNNNNNNNNNNNNNNNNNNNNNNNNNNNNNNNGGAGCAGAAUUACCACCCUCACCUGGGCAUGGGUGAACUUCGCCCCCCCCAUCCCACCCACCGCCGCCCCACACACGAUCUUGCUGGGGUCCCAGCUGGGAACCUCAAAAAAUGGGGGCGCCACGCACGGGCCAGGGCUACCUGGAGCUCGGGGGGGCCUCCUUCAUCUCGGAUCAGUAGCAGGUAACUCUGGCCAUCCACCACAAUCUCCUUCUUAAACCGACCCCCUAGGACAGAGUGCGCGGUCAGGCCCCAAGCCGCAAGAGUGAGCCCACGACGGGGGUUGGAGGGGUGGCCACACAGAGAAGGGACCCACAGCUUCCAACAGAGAAGACGGGAGGAUGGAGAGAGACACGGGGCUGCAGCCCCCUGAACAAACAGCGGGAGACAGGGACGGGCCGGCCCGUUAACGCUCACCUUCAGGGGACUCCUCCUGGACAUAGGUCCCCGUCAGAUAGCGGUGCACCAGGGCCGACUUCCCACUAGACAGGUUCCCUACAAUGCCCUGCGGGAGAGGAAGGAGCAGUGGUCAGAGGGCUGGACAGACAGAUGGCACAGCAGGACAGGCAGGACAGGCUGAUUCAGUUGGGAGGAGAUGGCCCAGCGCUGAGGAUGGAAAAGGCAAGAGAAACCGGGAAGAGACGGGGGCACGGGGCAAGUCCGAGCCUAGAGACAGAGGGGACUGGAAGCUGGGGUGGUCGGGGAGAGUCACGCCGGCCCACCACUCUAGCCCGCACCCCCAGCCCAGGGCUGCCUGUGCCUCCCACUCACUCACCACUUUAAGCUCCGGCACUGAGCGGCUCAGGGUCCACUCCUGGCUGUUCACAAAGGAGUCUGCAGGAGAGAAGGCCACCCGUCAGGGCUGGGAUGGCACAGGCCCCUUUGCUAUCCAGCACCAACUGCCUCUGUGACCUGGCACCUUUGCGAGGCCACAGCCAGAAAACACCCUCACGCCCUAGUUUCCUGUGCACACUCAAGUCACUUCGGUCAUGUCUGACGCUCUGCGAGCCCGCCAGGCUCCUCUGUCCGUGGGGAUUCUCCAGGCAAGAAUUCUGGAGUGGGUGGCCAUGCCCUCCUCCAGGGGAAUCUUCCCCACCCAGGGAUUGAACCUGUGUCUCUUACAUCUCCUGCACUGGCAGACGGGUGCUUUACCACUAGCGCUGCCUGGAAGCCCUUAGCUCCCUAAAUGAAGUCGCUCAGUCGUGUCUGACUCUGUGACCCCAUGGACUAUAGCCUACCAGGCUUCUCAGUCCAUGGGAUUUUCCAGGCAAGAGAACUGGAGUGGGUUGCUAUUUCCUUCUCCAGGGGAUCUUCCCUAGAGAGCAGCAAGAAUGCUCUCUGAUAAUAGAACAGCGGGGUGACAGCUCUCAGUUCUCUGGCCUGGACAGACCGGAUCCCUCUUCUUUCCACUCCAGCAGAGUGGGUAGCUACUACCUUGAGUCACGCCCUACUCGGCGCCCCCGCCUGGUGAGAGGCUGUUCCAUGGGUCUCCGCCAGACCCAAGCUGGGCUGGGGGCCCGCCUCUGCAGCCAGUAGGAACAGCUCACUCUCGCAGGGUGGGGCCACCCACUACAUUCCUGGUGAGCAAAGAGGGCGGAGCCCUUCACCUGGCCCUGUUUGGUGAGAGGCCGGUCCAACAGGGAGCUGUCUGCCCCUCCCAGCCGGCCCUCCUCCCCAGGCUCCUCCUUGGCAGGAGCCAGCCACCCUUUCUUUCCCUGAGAUCCGCCUCCAGCGCUCCUCCUCUCAAGUCCAUCCCCAGCUCCUGCCUCACCCCGGCGCUACCCAGAGCCCCAGGGCCAGCCCCUCUCCUUGAGCCUCUAGGUUGGCACAGACAUCCUGGGGCCAGCUCCAGGCAGCUCCGAAGGGACCAGGCUCUUGGGGGCAGGGUUCACGCCCCCUCCCCAGGCUGCCUCCAAGAGUAGUUACAACGCGCGGGUCCAGUCCCUAAACUCAUCUGCAAAGGCAGCUUAAAGGCUCACCUGGGAGCUAGAGCUGCUGCUGAUCUAGUCCUCCCCGCCCUCCAGAGCCGGCCCGGGCUCCGAGUGUCUCAUCCGUCCCGGGGCCCUUUCCUGGGUCUCCAAAAGUGAGAAAGGGGCCCUUCCGUUCCGCUCUCAUUCCACUUCGUUAGGGCCACGGGAGGGAAGCCCUCCCGGGACCCACCUGGAAGCCCACCUUUGCCACAGCCACCGUCUCCAGACCCAACAGCGACCCCAGAUCUUGCCGGGUGCUGAUCUACUUGGUCCAGCCCCGUCUGGCGGACC